UGGGGAAUCUUGGACAAUGGGGGCAACCCUGAUCCAGCCAUGCCGCGUGAGUGAUGAAGGCCUUAGGGUCGUAAAGCUCUUUCGCCUGUGAAGAUAAUGACGGUAGCAGGUAAAGAAACCCCGGCUAACUCCGUGCCAGCAGCCGCGGUAAUACGGAGGGGGUUAGCGUUGUUCGGAAUUACUGGGCGUAAAGCGCACGUAGGCGGACCAGAAAGUUGGGGGUGAAAUCCCGGGGGCUCAACCCCGGAACUGCCUCCAAAACUAUUGGUCUAGAGUUCGAGAGAGGUGAGUGGAAUUCCAAGUGUAGAGGUGAAAUUCGUAGAUAUUUGGAGGAACACCAGUGGCGAAGGCGGCUCACUGGCUCGAUACUGACGCUGAGGUGCGAAAGUGUGGGGAGCAAACAGGAUUAGAUACCCUGGUAGUCCACACCGUAAAACGAUGAAUGCCAGUCGUCGGGUAGCAUGCUAUUCGGUGACACACCUAACGGAUUAAGCAUUCCGCCUGGGGAGUACGGUCGCAAGGUUAAAACUCAAAUGAAUUG
rnacentral:rRNA from 1 species